rnacentral:miRNA from 1 species
UGGCCUGAUCUCUCGACGUACA